rnacentral:lncRNA from 1 species
CACGGAUGCUGAGCUUCGGGUAACUCGCACAGUGGAAGACCUGUUCCUUCUACCCAAGAAAGAACAGUUAAUGAAGCCACAUGAGCAUCCCUCCCUGCCAACAGGUGUACACCUUAGAGAAGAGACAGACAAGUAUAUGACGUAAUCGGAUAAAUGUCUCGACAAUCUAUUACAGCAGCUCAACAAAGGGCCACCUAAUUGAACCUGGAAGUAUCAGGAAGGCUUCCUGGAAAACGUGAUAGCUAAGUGGAGUUUUUAACAAUAGUAGUAAUAAU